rnacentral:lncRNA from 12 species
UAUGUAUUUAUGUACGUACUUCUUUAUUCUUUUAUUUCUUCAUUCAUUUAUUCAUUUAUUCAUUCGUUUAUCUAUUUAUCUUUCAUGUAUUUAUGUAUUUAUGUAUGUAUGUAUGUAUGUAUGUAUGUAUGUAUGUAUGUAUGUAUUUAUUUAUUUAUUUAUUUAUUUAUUUAUUUAUUUAUUUAUUUAUUUAUUAUUUAUCAGAGACGGAGAGACGGAGAAGCAGGUUCCAUCCAGAGCGCCUGACCUGGGACUCUGAGCCCGCGUCUCCAGGACCACGCCCUGGGCUGAAGGCGGAGCUCGACCCCCGAGCGGCCGGGCCGUUGCCCCGAGUUUGUCUUUGUUUGUAUGUAUGUGCAUUUAUGUAUGUAUGUACGUACGUACUUACUUGCUUACUUACUAUUUAUUCAUUUUCUUUUCUUUCUUUCUUUCUUUCUUUCUUUCUUUCUUUCUUUCUUUCUUUCUUUCUUUCUUUCAUCAGACACAGACGGAGACGGAGAAGCAGGCUCCAUCCAGAGCGCCUGACCUGGGACUCUGAGCCCGCGUCUCCAGAACCACGCCCUGGGCUGAAGGCGGAGCUCGACCCCCGAGCGGCCGGGCCGUUGCCCCGAGUUUGUCUUUGUUUACACAGACGGAGACGGAGAAGCAGGCUCCAUCCAGAGCGCCUGACCUGGGACUCUGAGCCGGCGUCUCCAGGACCACGCCCUGGGCUGAAGGCGGAGCUCGACCCCCGAGCGGCCGGGCCGUUGCCGCAAGUUUACCUUUUUUUUCCUUCUCUUUUUUUGGAAGGUUUGUUUGUGUCCUUGCGUGGAGCCUGCUUCUUCUCCCUCUGCCUAGGUCUCUGCCCCUUCCUCUCUCCUCUCUCCUCUCUCUCUCUCUCUCUCUCUCUCUCUCUCUCUCUCUCUCUCUCUCCCUCCCUACGUUCGGACUUCUAGGUCACCCAUCAUAAAGAUGCCUCGUGGGAUGGGACCC